AUCCUGGAAAGCACGUUGGAGUCAUUGGCUGUGGUCAUGAAAGCAUUUGAAACAGUACACUACAUGCUAGAUGAAUUGUGCGUAUUCAGAACUCUGUGCAGUGAUCUGCCAGUAUUCAAGUAGAAGGGAUGUAAUGGAUAUUAGCACUUUUGAACUGUAGGAAUGGGAAGAGGAUGGAAUUACGAAAGUGAGAAACAUAAUGACAAAGAUUAACUGUGACCUUUAAGCCUUUGCCUGAAUAUAUUAAAAUGGGCCUUUUACACCCCAAGAUAUGGCUGUACAGUUCAGACCACGCAAGAUAUUACAAGUGCCAGAAGUUUGGCCAAACAUCUUGGGAUCUGUCCCUCAGGAGAGUGGAGUCUCCCAGGUACUGUAUACCUGCUCCAAAAGCUGUAAAAUAGCCGAAUUUUAAAAAAAUGCCAAAACUUCCAUCACUAGGUGCCAAAAGCCACUCUUUGGUAGCAAGUGAUUUGACAGUUGCCGUUGUUGGUGUGUUGGUAGCCUUUACGAUGGUUUUAAUUACUUUGGUUGGAUUGGAUACUAAAUAUAAUGUGAAAUUACGAGUGAUGUUCAGCACCAUUUUACCAAAAUGGAAGAAAAAGGAAAAGGCCACUACAGACAGCAAAUAAUUACCAUUGAUUCUGGCACAUCAUGAAACAUGAAGAGACAUCUAAACUUGAAGCACUCUAC